AGCGAACGCUGGCGGCAGGCCUAACACAUGCAAGUUGAACGAACUCUUCGGAGUUAGUGGCGGACGGGUGAGUAACACGUGGGAACGUGCCUUUAGGUUCGGAAUAACUCAGGGAAACUUGUGCUAAUACCGAAUGUGCCCUUCGGGGGAAAGAUUUAUCGCCUUUAGAGCGGCCCGCGUCUGAUUAGCUAGUUGGUGAGGUAACGGCUCACCAAGGCGACGAUCAGUAGCUGGUCUGAGAGGAUAGCCAGCCACACUGGGACUGAGACACGGCCCAGACUCCUACGGGAGGCAGCAGUGGGGAAUCUUGCGCAAUGGGCGAAAGCCUGACGCAGCCAUGCCGCGUGAAUGAUGAAGGUCUUAGGAUUGUAAAAUUCUUUCACCGGGGACGAUAAUGACGGUACCCGGAGAAGAAGCCCCGGCUAACUUCGUGCCAGCAGCCGCCGCGG
rnacentral:rRNA from 1 species